UACAGAGGGUGCGAGCGUUAAUCGGAAUUACUGGGAGUAAAGCGCACGUAGGUGGCGACGUAAGUCGGGUGUGAAAGCCCCGAGCUCAACAUGGGAAUUGCAUUCGAGACUGCAUUGCUGGAGUACGGAAGAGGAGGGCGGAAGUCCCGGUGUAGCGGUGAAAUGCGUAGAUAUCGGUAGGAACAUCAGUGGCGAAGGCGGCCCUCUGGGCCAGUACUGACACUCAAGUGCGAAAGCGUGGGGAGCAAACAGG
rnacentral:rRNA from 1 species